UUUUGUUAUUACUUUCUAAUUCUUUCUUCCCUUUGCAUCGAUCCACUUGCUAUGCAGCCACUGCCAUGACACAGCAGGUUACUCGGCAUGCUCGGCGUGUUUACUUCGGUGGACUUCCUCCGAUCGCUAAUGAACAGACGGUUGCUCUAUUCUUCAAUCAAGUUAUGGCUGCUAUCGGGGGAAACGCAUUUGGUCUAGGUGGCACAAUCAUCUGAAUCCAAACAUAUGGAACGAUGCUUGGACUACUGAGGAGGAACAUGCACUGAUUAAUGCCAUCAGGUAUAUGGGAAUAAAUGAGCAGAAAUAGCAAAAGUUAUUCCUGGAAGGUACUGCAUGCCAAACAACUUACAUCAUGGGUCUUGCUUGUAGUAUUAGCUUUCUCUGUUUGUGCCGUCUCUUGUGUGUGUGACUGACUGCGUGUGACUGUGACUGUGACUCUGAUUGGUGUGACUGUUAUUGUGUGUGUGUGUGUGACUGAAUCUGUGUGUGACGGUGACUCUGUGUGACCGACUGUGUGUGUGUGUGUGUGUUUGAAUUAAUAUUGCAUUUGCUUGAUGGUGUGUGUUGUAUGCUUUGCUUGAUGGUGUGUCCUGUAUGCUUUGCUUGAUGGUGUGUCCUGAAUGCUUUGCUUGAAUGAUUGAUGUUGUAUGUUUUGUUUGUU